rnacentral:rRNA from 1 species
CAUUAGAUAGUUGGUGAGGUAACGGCUCACCAAGUCUACGAUGUCUAGGGGUUCUGAGAGGAUGAUCCCCCACACUGGUACUGAGAUACGGACCAGACUCCUACGGGAGGCAGCAGUAGGGAAUAUUGGUCAAUGGACGAGAGUCUGAACCAGCCAUGCCGCGUGCAGGAAGACGGCCUUCUGGGUUGUAAACUGCUUUUAUAUGGG